rnacentral:rRNA from 1 species
CAUUAUUGAUAGGAAACACCAAAAUUUCCUAUUCUAAAUCUCCCUUGUGUAUCGUUUGGAGAAUUGUUGCUUCCACUGGACAGACUUGAUGGGAUAAAUAUUCCCGUGGGUCCUUUAGCUUAUACAUGCUGUGUUUGCUGCGGAGUUGCCAGUGGGUAAUUUUUUUUUGGCCUAAAAAUUUCAUAAACUCUUACAAAUUGUCUGAUAUGAUGCUUUAAUAAUAAAACUUUCAACAACGGAUCUCUAGGCUCUUGCAUCGAUGAAGAACGCAGUGAAAUGCGAUAAGUAAUGUGAAUUGCAGAAUUUCGUGAAUCAUCGAAUCUUUGAACGCACAUUGCGCCCUAUAGUUAUUCUGUAGGGCAUGCCUGUCUGAGUGUCAGUUUCCUUUCAAAAUCCCAAUGUAUUUGGGGACUUAUUUAGAGAUGCAACUACUUGUUCGUUGCCCUUUAGAAAUCAAUUGUCUGAAUCAGAUUAUAUUCUGGUGUAAUAAAUAUCACAAUAAAUUUCAUUGGGAAUAUAUCUGUAUAUUAAUUCAGUACUGAAAAUAGUUACUCUUUAUUGGAUGACCUCAGAUCAGGUAGGGAUACCCGCUGAACUUAAGCAUAUCA